rnacentral:lncRNA from 1 species
AAAUUACAUUUCCAAGAAUAAUCUUGGAACAAGACAAGUUUUUGUUCAAUUAAUUGUGGCUGGAAACUUUUUAAUGGAAACAUAGCACACACUUACUUCAUUUCAGAUUAUUAAAUUGUGUUAAGCGUUAAAGUUAGUUGCCAUUCUUUGCUGUAGCUCAUUUGUUCUUUUCGAUCCAGAGAAAUAUUAGAAGGUUAAAACUUAUCACAUAGGAGGGAUUAAUCAUGCAACCAAAAUUAGACAGCCUGUAGUUCUGAGAGACUGUCAAAAUUGUGUGCUCGUAGCCCUUAAACUAUUGAGAAUCUAGGACCCCACUACUACGUCUAAGAUGACAGUUAAUGUCUGUGGAAACCCUGGAUGUUUAGGAGCUGGUGAAGCUAGAAUUCUCUUACUCUUUAAGGGCACCACUUUCAGAUAAAAACAUAGACCUGAAUGGCAUCAUCCAGUAUCCAAGGAAACCAUGUCUCUAAGUCCACUGAUGACAGGAAAAUCUUCAGUGGUUCCAGAGACAAGCUGCUGGAAAUCCUGCACAUUUAUCUUCCAGGAGGAAGUGAGCUGGUUAGGAUAGAGGUCCCUUCUGGAAGAACCUCCCCCAAAACUUUAAAGGACUCCAAAUUAAGCCAGGUCCAUUUCUGGGACCCUAAAGUGGCUCAUGAAAGUCAGGGGCCACUUGAUUAAUGUUUGGUGAUUUCAAAAGCCUUAAGAUUCUAAGGGGAGAGUAAAGAUGGGGAAGGUGAGGCUGAAUAAAUUGUGAGAAUCUAUCAAAUAACAAGGCAUCUCUUUAAUUCCAAGCAUCAUGUUCUAUCUCACUUUGUAUCUUUCAGUUAAAAAAAGGAAAACGUGUCUUCUUUAAAAACAUAUUUUUCCUCUAUUAAUAUUCAGUACUUAAUAUAUGAAUACAGAUCCAUCAUUCUUUAGCUUUAGGUAGAUCACAACCUAAUUUACAAAUUCAAAAGCGUAAGUAAGAUCAACUCAAUUGCUCAAGGCCAUGUAUUUGCAAGCUAAGAGCAUGCAUUGAACAUUUCCUGUCCUUGGACUGGUGUACUGGGCAAUGCUGCUUUUCUCUAAGAAUUUGUUCAUCUAUUGGCUUUAACACAAUUUUGCUUAUCAGUUGAAAACGUUUAACCUAUACCCACUCAUGUAAUAUAAAGUAUAAAAUUAAAUCAAUGAUCUAGAAAAUUCAGGGCAAAGUAGUUUAAAUCAUUUUGAUCUUCCUAAAGAUUUUGAUUUUUUUUUAACCUGAAAAAAUAGGUGAUUACUCAAUAGCCUUAGCUCAAAAAUAUAUCUGACAGGUUAUUUUUAUUUGUUUGGUUUUCAGAAAUUAUAUUCGUGCUUUCUACCCUCUGUAGUUUUUAGCAAAAUGAAUCAAAGCCACUCUGUACCCAAAGAUAACACCACUGUUGUCUUUUUUUUUUUUUUUUUUUUAAACAUUGCAGGGCUUUACCUCGAGAGCUACGCAGUAAAUUUACAGGGAAAGAAAAAUUUUAUUAAAUUAUAACUGAGAGGAGCUGAUUUUUUUACAUAGCAAACAAAAAAUUCCUUCAUGAAAGGCUAUAA